CCGGGCCGCGGCCGCGGGGCCGGGGCCGUGUGGAGCGCGUCCGCUGCCGGCCGUUGGCCCCUGGCAGUCGUCGGCCGUUGGCCGCGGAAGGGAGCGGGUUCCCGCCGCUACCUUGAAGGUUACGGGUAGUUUCCUAAAUCGGGGCACGUUUGUGAGAAUCGCCUUGUGCUUUUUGAAGACGUUCUGGUGAUUAAUGGUAGGGAGUUACCUAUAAAUAAUUCAGUGUGCCGAAACAAAGGAUUCUUCCCGGCGGCGGUGAAGCCGCGCUCCACACGCUCCCUUUCUCCUGGAUCUGCCUCCUUAGAAAACAUGUCCAUCCUGUAAGGAGGAGCACAGAUGAAGUGCCACCUGGCUGCACAGCAGUGACUCCACAGCCGACGAGCAAAGAACAGGGUUUCUUCUGCACCCCUGAAAUCUCAGUAUCACAUCACAGGAAACUCAGUUCUUCAGUGGAACACUGAAUCCUUCCAUUUACUUAUGAGAAUAUCACUUGUCGCUUAGUUGCCAUUGGAGAUACUGUUUAAUAGAAAACAUAUUUAUAAAAAUGGAAAUGUUUCCCAAUACAUAUGAUAUAACAGGGACUAUAAAUGAAAAAGGGAUGAGAAAAACAAGAUGACUUCAAUUCCAAACAGAUCUGUGGGCAUAAAUUUGCUGAACAAUCACUUAGAUGUUGGGAAAAGACAUCUGAUGUUUACAGCUGAUCAGCAGAUCUGGAUUUGAGACAUUUUUACAUCACCUUUUUGUGCUGCUUGAUCCAAGCACUUACAUUCCAAGUGAAACCAAGAUUAUUCUUCUGCGCUUGUUAAGACCAGAUCUCUACACUGCUGGAUCCCACAGCAGGACAAAUUUUGCUUCACAAAUUCUGUACAAAUUUAGACACAGCACAGUCAUAGUCUGUUAAAUUAGCCGGGGCAUGAUCUGAAGUUUGUCAGUGCAGUGUUACUUGCAGAAGAACAGAAGAAAUAAAAUCUGUUCUAAAACCUGUCUGUACAAAGUCUGAAAAAUUUGAGCUAGACUCGCCACUGAAAAAAUAGCUUUACUGGGUGCAAUUUCUGUUCAUGUUCCAACAUCAUUCCUUGCUUGUGUCAGCCUGGUUGUGAUGCCGUACAAGGAACUGAUUGAUCUGGCACUUCCUUAGGGGAAGAGGGAACGCUAUUAAUUUUCAGCCACAUUAAUUUUCAAUUCAGUACUAAAAGCCCUAAUGUCAGAGGUACUGUAGUAUUGAAUCUGUCCUUUGAGUAGCUCCAAAGUUCAGUGAUUCUCUGUCUGCUUGAGCUAGCCCAAGAAUUUAUUCUGACUGUUGACACUGCAGUGAUGUCCUGUCCUCUUUCACCAGCAGUGCUUGCUCUUGCUUUGCAACCUGGCAGGACAACACAAAAAUCCAAAAAAGGCAUAAUUUGGACAGCAAACAUUUGCUAAUUUACAUAUCUGGAAGAGAGGCCUUAUUUUUUGGAUACUGUUUUUGUUCAAGAUUGCACCACAAUUUAUUUCACAAAAGGUCAUAUUCUUUAUUAGCUGUCUUGCUGAAGAUAACAGUUCAUCUCGGAAACCUGCCCAUCUGAAGCGAUCCUUUUACAUUGAACAGUAAGUUUCUCUGUUUUUGAAACAAUGGAAACUAACCAUAGUACAGGGAGUUUAUCAGCUGGCUUGCAGCUGUGAAACUCACUUUUGAAGGGAAAACGGUAACUCCAUUUUGUCCUCAAGAAUGGAGUGUAAAGCCUAAUUCUUUAAUAGCCUACGCUUGAUAAUAUCAGAAACCUAAAUUCUAUGUGAAAGACAGUAAUACAAAGACAAUGGGGAACAAAAAGAGAAAUAGAAAUUCUGCGCAUUCCCUAAAAUUUCUAAGUUGCUGAAAUACAAUGAGGAAAACCCAACAUUUAAAUAUACAGGUAAACUUUAUAAUUUCAGUUUAUAUUUAGAUGAAAGCAAGAGGACAAAUUAUGUACUUUUUGGUGCCAUGCUUUUAUUUAAAUGAAAGGAAAAAACUACACUGUACCACAUAAGUAGCAAUGACAAUAUUUUACAGCACAGCAUUUGAAAAAAUAUGGAAGCUAUGCUCCAUAGAAGUGGACAAGUAAGCACACAAUACACUGUACAUUUUUUAACAGUGCCCAUUAAGUCAAAAUUAAAUAGCUGAAUUUGGCUUUAAACAGCCAAAUAAUAAAAACUAACAGUCAUACUAAAAUUUAAAAAAAAAUAUUUCAGUAGCUAUCAUGACUGUUAGAAUCUGAAAUUUUGCUCCAAAAACUAAGAUGAAAGUUUGGCAAUUCAGUUGUAGCAACAAUAAUAAUACCCCUGAUGAAAGCACCAGUGUGUUCUGAUAAGGUCAGUGAUAAAUACUGGCCUUUAUGGAAAGCUUUUUUUUUUUUUUUUUUUUUUAAA